AUCUGGCUGUAGAACUCUCAGCUAAUUCUCCAGCAGCACCAUGCCUGCGUGCUACUAUGAUAACAGAGGACUGAACCUGUGAACUGUAAUGACCUCUACCCAGUGUCAUAAUGUAUGAAUGGAGCCUAGCACUCCUGAGACCACUCCUAAGACAACCCCAGACACUCAGAGAUCCCAGGUGCCACUAAGAGGAGCAAGCAAGCAAGUGGAGAAAUGGAAGAGAAAGAGGAGCAAUAUGAUGUGUACACAAUGAAAAGAGGCAGAACUGGAAACUCUAGGGACGUGAGUAACCAGUGAUGCCACCUGGGACCACAGUGAGCUCCUGACCUGUACUGCCACUGGGGACCAUGUCUGAGUUUGUGGCCCUGCAGCAGCAGGGAUCUGUUACCACCAAAGGCCAGGUGGACAUCCAUGUUCUAGGCUGCCUCCUGGGGGCAUGUUGAUGUCGAGGGCUAUGCAGAACUGGCCCCACCUUUGCCUGGGAGAGCUGGCUCUGAAGACAUAAGAGUAGAAGAAUUGACUCUCUCCCUAAGCAGCUGCAGUACUCUCAAGAGAGCCCCGCACACUGCAGGGGUUUCAGGUGAGCCAGCCCCAAGGGUAUGAACAUGGGAGAGCUGGUCUUGCCACUGUCUCCUUUGUAGUUACAUGGACGAGGAAGAGAUACUCUUCUCCCGCCUUACCUCUUGUCACCUGCAGCAGGUCAUGAGAGCAGGAGAGCGGCAGCACUCAGGAGAGCAGACCCUGCACUUCGCACCUUGUCUGGAGGGUGCAGUAGAGCUUACCAUGGUGUCAGGUGUAGGAUCUCCAUGACACAGGCCAACAGCAGAUUAUCUGAGA
rnacentral:lncRNA from 1 species